rnacentral:rRNA from 1 species
CUCAGGACGAACGCUGGCGGCGUGCUUAACACAUGCAAGUCGAGCGGUAAGGCCCUUCGGGGUACACGAGCGGCGAACGGGUGAGUAACACGUGAGCAACCUGCCCCUGACUCCGGGAUAAGCGGUGGAAACGCCGUCUAAUACCGGAUACGACCCUCCUCCGCAUGGUGGGGGGUGGAAAGUUUUUCGGUCGGGGAUGGGCUCGCGGCCUAUCAGCUUGUUGGUGGGGUAACGGCCUACCAAGGCGAUUACGGGUAGCCGGCCUGAGAGGGCGACCGGCCACACUGGGACUGAGACACGGCCCAGACUCCUGCGGGAGGCAGCAGUGGGGAAUAUUGCGCAAUGGGCGAAAGCCUGACGCAGCGACGCCGCGUGGGGGAUGACGGCCUUCGGGUUGUAAACCUCUUUUACCACUCACGCAGGCCCCACGUUUUCGUGGGGUUGACGGUAGGUGGGGAAUAAGGACCGGCUAACUACGUGCCAGCAGCCGCGGUAAUACGUAGGGUCCGAGCGUUGUCCGGAAUUAUUGGGCGUAAAGAGCUCGUAGGCGGCGUGUCGCGUCUGCUGUGAAAGACCGGGGCUUAACCCCGGUUCUGCAGUGGAUACGGGCAUGCUAGAGGUAGGUAGGGGAGACUGGAAUUCCUGGUGUAGCGGUGAAAUGCGCAGAUAUCAGGAGGAACACCGGUGGCGAAGGCGGGUCUCUGGGCCUUACCUGACGCUGAGGAGCGAAAGCAUGGGGAGCGAACAGGAUUAGAUACCCUGGUAGUCCAUGCCGUAAACGUUGGGCGCUAGGUGUGGGGACUUUCCACGGUUUCCGCGCCGUAGCUAACGCAUUAAGCGCCCCGCCUGGGGAGUACGGCCGCAAGGCUAAAACUCAAAGGAAUUGACGGGGGCCCGCACAAGCGGCGGAGCAUGUUGCUUAAUUCGACGCAACGCGAAGAACCUUACCAAGGUUUGACAUCACCCGUGGACCUGUAGAGAUACAGGGUCAUUUGGUUGGCGGGUGACAGGUGGUGCAUGGCUGUCGUCAGCUCGUGUCGUGAGAUGUUGGGUUAAGUCCCGCAACGAGCGCAACCCUUGUUCCAUGUUGCCAGCACGUAGUGGUGGGGACUCAUGGGAGACUGCCGGGGUCAACUCGGAGGAAGGUGGGGACGACGUCAAGUCAUCAUGCCCCUUAUGUCUUGGGCUGCAAACAUGCUACAAUGGCCGGUACAAUGGGCGUGCGAUACCGUGAGGUGGAGCGAAUCCCUAAAAGCCGGUCUCAGUUCGGAUUGGGGUCUGCAACUCGACCCCAUGAAGGUGGAGUCGCUAG